AUACAUGCAGUCGAGCGAAGAGAUGGGAGCUUGCUCCCUGAUCUUAGCGGCGGACGGGUGAGUAACACGUGGGCAACCUGCCCUGCAGACUGGGAUAACUCCGGGAAACCGGAGCUAAUACCGGGUAAUACAUCGCACCGCAUGGUGCAAUGUUGAAAGUUGGCUUUCUGAGCUAACACUGCAGGAUGGGCCCGCGGCGCAUUAGCUAGUUGGUAAGGUAAUGGCUUACCAAGGCGACGAUGCGUAGCCGACCUGAGAGGGUGAUCGGCCACACUGGGACUGAGACACGGCCCAGACUCCUACGGGAGGCAGCAGUAGGGAAUCUUCCGCAAUGGACGAAAGUCUGACGGAGCAACGCCGCGUGAGUGACGAAGGCCUUCGGGUCGUAAAGCUCUGUUGUUAGGGAAGAACAAGUACCGUUCGAAUAGGGCGGUACCUUGACGGUACCUAACCAGAAAGCCACGGCUAACUACGUGCCAGCAGCCGCGGUAAUACGUAGGUGGCAAGCGUUGUCCGGAAUUAUUGGGCGUAAAGCGCGCGCAGGCGGUCUUUUAAGUCUGAUGUGAAAGCCCACGGCUCAACCGUGGAGGGUCAUUGGAAACUGGAGGACUUGAGUGCAGAAGAGGAGAGUGGAAUUCCACGUGUAGCGGUGAAAUGCGUAGAUAUGUGGAGGAACACCAGUGGCGAAGGCGGCUCUCUGGUCUGUAACUGACGCUG
rnacentral:rRNA from 2 species